AACUUUCAGCAACGGCUCUCUUGGCUCUCGCAUCGAUGAAGAACGCAGCGAAAUGCGAUACGUAAUGUGAAUUGCAGAAUUCAGUGAAUCAUCGAAUCUUUGAACGCACCUUGCGCCCCUUGGAAUUCCGAGGGGCACACCCGUUUGAGUGUCGUGAACAUCCUUCAACCUUUCUUGGUUUCUUAACCGGGGAAGGCUUGGACUUUGGGGGUCUUUCAUUGCUGGCCUCUUUGAAGCCAGCUCCUCCUAAAUGGAUUAGUGUGGUCUGCUUUGCCGAUCCUUGACGUGAUAAGAUGUUUCUACGUCUUGGGUUUCGCACUGUCGCUUUAGACCCCGCUUCUAACCGUCUUGCAUUCAAGACAGAGUUUUAAACCUUGACCUCAAAUCGGGUGAGACUACCCGCUGAACUUAAGCAUAUCAAUAAGCGGAGGCU
rnacentral:misc_RNA from 1 species